GAAGUAGAGAGGAGACAUUGCAGGAACUGGCAGUAGAGGAGUUAUGAGGUCUGGCCUACCCUCUGAUCCAACCACGGUUUUGAAGGAGACAGCUGAUUUAUAAAUACAGCUUCACAGGACAUCACCCAUCACAGCGCCUCCAUCUCACUGCCUGACAACAGAGGUAACCAGUGCCACGGAGAUUCUGGAAGUCACUCAGAAGAUCAUUGAGUUGCUGACAGGAGAGGUUCCUAUAAGGUGUCAGGAUGUCACUGUCUAUUU